rnacentral:tRNA from 3 species
GAUUAAAUGGCUGAUAAAUAGCGGUUGAUUGUAAAUCAUCUUAUAGAGUAUUCUCUUUUAAUCA